rnacentral:lncRNA from 1 species
UCAGAAAUCUGAAAGGAUUCAGACGUUAGUGACUGGCCGGAGUUCCUCGUGCUUCUGUGAGUUUUUCCUGUUUCUUUUUACUCGCAUGGUUGAAGUUUUAGUUACAGUUUUUGUUUCAUUAAGUGUUCUGUUAAUUUUAUGAUUUAUUUGUAUUAGUAUAGUUCUGUCAUUUACAGUUAGUUCUGAGUUUGAUAUUUUAAUGUUCGAUUGCGAGUUUAUUGGUUAAGAAUUAGUUUAAUUUCAUUUAACGUUGAGCAUGUUAGCUUAAGCCCUGCUUUGAUUGAUCCUAGUUUCUGGUUUGUCUUAGUUUGAUUAAGUGGGUGUAUUUGAGCAAUUGGGAUUGGUUAGUUUAAUUAGUUGAUUUCUGAGUGCUAAUUAAUCAAUUUCAGUUAGUUUUAGAUUAAAUUAGGGGAUUGGUUAUAGCUGUUAAGGAUGAGGGUAGGAUCAGUAACUUAGAGAAGCCUUCAGGGGUAGUCUGGGUAUGGAAAAGGGUGGUUCUGAUAGGAAUAGUAAUUUCAAAGUAUUUGAAAGGGUAGUAUAGGUAUUGUAUGGGUAGAAGAAUACCCUAGGGCCUUCUAGAAUAGGAUUUUAGUGCACAUUUCAGCACAAUAGGGGUGUUUACUUGUUUAGCAAGUCAAGAAUAGAGGGACUAAAUUGAAAUAAGGGAGGGACUAAAAAAAGAAGGCCUAAAAUCUGAUCUAUUCUCUUUGGUUGCCUAUAUAAGGGCAUGAAAUGCCUUGGGAAAGGGGGUUCUUCUUCUUCUUUCAGCUCUAAGUUCGAAAAUCUCCACAAAAGGCUCUCCUCCCAGCUUUCAAUUCCAUAUUGCAGAGGUGUUUAGGUUCAGCUGGGAGGACUAGGAGUGCAUUUGAAGUAUGUGUUGAAUUGAUCUGUGGAGUCUGCUUGUAUUUCUGGUUUUCAAAGCAGUUCCUAGCAUGUUCUGUGGUGUAUAUUGUUGAGUUUGUUGCUGUUGCUGUUCAAAGUAGCUGACUCCUUUCCUUUUCUCUAUUUACAUUCCAAUUUCCAGGUACAUUUCUUUGAACCUCACUGAUGUAUGCUCGUUGAAGUUGAAAUGAAAUGUUCAAAGGGUCUAUUAUUCAACUAAAGGCAGUCUGUGUUUUAACUGAUAUUCAUAGUGUAGCUUUCUGUUAUAUAAACUGGCAGUUAUAUGUAAUUAAGAUUGUCCAGUAGGGUUGAUUACAUGUUGAAUGUUGCACAACGUUGAACUGUUGAAAUGGGCAUUUGAAAUAGCAUUGAGCAUAGGUUUGGUUUAAUUUAAAGGUUCGUGUGAAUUUAAUAGUCAUCAGUAGCAAUUGGAUCUAUGUAAAUGACAUGUGAAUUC